GAACGCUGGCGGCGUGCCUAAUACAUGCAAGUCGAGCGAACAGACGAGGAGCUUGCUCCUCUGACGUUAGCGGCGGACGGGUGAGUAACACGUGGAUAACCUACCUAUAAGACUGGGAUAACUUCGGGAAACCGGAGCUAAUACCGGAUAAUAUAUUGAACCGCAUGGUUCAAUAGUGAAAGACGGUUUUGCUGUCACUUAUAGAUGGAUCCGCGCCGCAUUAGCUAGUUUGUAAGGUAACGGCUUACCAAGGCAACGAUGCGUAGCCGACCUGAGAGGGUGAUCGGCCACACUGGAACUGAGACACGGUCCAGACUCCUACGGGAGGCAGCAGUAGGGAAUCUUCCGCAAUGGGCGAAAGCCUGACGGAGCAACGCCGCGUGAGUGAUGAAGGUCUUCGGAUCGUAAAACUCUGUUAUUAGGGAAGAACAAAUGUGUAAGUAACUAUGCACGUCUUGACGGUACCUAAUCAGAAAGCCACGGCUAACUACGUG
rnacentral:rRNA from 1 species